rnacentral:lncRNA from 1 species
GCAGCGACCUGUGGACCCGCCCGCUCUCCGCCCGGGGGCUCGGACCUCCGCCUCUCUGGGUGCCCGGACCUCAACCCCUCCGGGUGUCCAGCAGCCCCGGGGCUCGGAGUCGCGGGCUGCGCCACAGCGCCUGGAGGGAGGUGGGGCGGGGGAGGGACUCCGGGUAUGGCCACGGGGGAAUCACACUCACCCGAUCUUUCUGAAGUGUCCCCCGAAGACUCCGGGCGGGCUGGGCUGGGGAGAGGGACUCCCGACCGUGCAGUUGCAGGAACGACCGCGGGCGAGCCACGUCGAGGUGUGAAGGUUACCAGGAGAGACCUGAGCUCGCUGGCUCUGACUCCAAGGUGGCCUCAGUGGAAAGUUUCAAAAGGCAACCGGUUUGGUUUCACUGGCAGGGCAGCGGCAGGCGUUUGGGUUCUGGAGGCCCAGGAAUGUAGAAGCCUCCAGCUAACAGACUCCACGCGCCUAUCCUCCCAAACGCUCUCGGAGAUAAGCUCCCAGCUCCCUCCCCUUUUCCACCUUCAUGCACUUCCUGCUGUAUUCUGUCCAUUCCAGCACUGGCCCUUUCUGUGGGUGGGUGGGCAGAGGAUACAAUUUCCUGCAUGACUACUUGCUCAUGAUUCAUACUUCUAAAUGAAAGUACAACUGAUAUAAAAAAAAGAUUUCUGGGUCUUCAAUUAAUAAAAAAAUUACUAAUACAGGUACCGGGGGUGGGGGGAGGUGCAC